rnacentral:rRNA from 1 species
AUUGAACGCUGGCGGCAGGCCUAACACAUGCAAGUCGAGCGGAGCGGCGGACGGGUGAGGAAUGCCUAUGAAUCUGACUGGUAGUGGGGGAUAACGACCGGAAACGGGCGCUAAUACCGCAUACUAUUGGAUGAGCCUAGGUCGGAUUAGCUAGUUGGUGGGGUAAAGGCCUACCAAGGCGACGAUCCGUAACUGGUCUGAGAGGAUGAUCAGUCACACUGGAACUGAGACACGGUCCAGACUCCUACGGGAGGCAGCAGUGGGGAAGAUUGGACAAUGGGCGAAAGCCUGAUCCAGCCAUGCCGCGUGUGUGAAGAAGGUCUUCGGGUUGUAAAGCACUUUAAGUUGGGAGGCGUUACCAACAGAAUAAGCACCGGCUAACUUCGUGCCAGCAGCCGCGGUAAUAC